GUGGCAUGUGUCAGCCCUGUAACAUGAGGGGACAGAGCCACCGCUCCGUGGUGCCGUGUCCGCCAUAGCUGCACGGUUGUCAAGUUCCAUGUACUUGUGAAGUCUCUGACUAAUUGUGUUGAACUGCAGGACACCCAGCUAGUGUGCAAGAAUUGGUUGGUGUGUAAGCAGCCCUCCUCCGCGACAACACAUCAAAAUGAUGAGCAUGAUCAUUAGUAUGGGAACAUGAGGUUCCUGCUUAGAUGCCACUUCCUUCAGGAGGCUGACUGAGCUUCACGAUGCCGGGAUGUUCUGCCCUCCGAGCUCCCA